rnacentral:rRNA from 1 species
GAUGAACGCUGGCGGCGUGCCUAAUACAUGCAAGUCGAGCGAGCGGCGGACGGGUGAGUAAUGUCUGGGAAACUGCCCGAUGGAGGGGGAUAACUACUGGAAACGGUAGCUAAUACCGCAUACCAUCGGAUGUGCCCAGAUGGGAUUAGCUAGUAGGUGGGGUAACGGCUCACCUAGGCGACGAUCCCUAGCUGGUCUGAGAGGAUGACCAGCCACACUGGAACUGAGACACGGUCCAGACUCCUACGGGAGGCAGCAGUGGGGAAUAUUGCACAAUGGGCGCAAGCCUGAUGCAGCCAUGCCGCGUGUAUGAAGAAGGCCUUCGGGUUGUAAAGUACUUUCAGCGAGGAGGCGUUACUCGCAGAAGAAGCACCGGCUAACUCCGUGCCAGCAGCCGCGGUAAUUC